AAACAAGUUUGGUGUUUAUGACGUCGAUAUUCGACGUCGUAAACACGAACAAGUUUGGUGUUUAUGACGUCGAAUAUCGACGUCAUAAACACAAACA